CUCGAGUCCACAGUGCUGAACAUGUGUGGAAGCUUCUCCAGCAACAUUACAUGAAUGUUGCACAUAGGUGCAUCAGGACAGGUUUGGAUUCUGUGACGGACUUCAGCAACAAAAUCAGUGAGUCACUUGAGCCAACUCCAAGUGUGUCUCAAGUGAGUGUGGCCGAGACAGAAACACUUCCUAAGAUUCUUGACAAGCCUGGGCAGAAACAAUUAAAGAAAGGGAAAAAUAGUCUUCCAAAGAUGGACAACCGACAUAAAAGGGCAGCAGCUAAAAAUGUACACUCCAAGAAAGGAGCAACUAGGAAAUCAAAGGUAUCUGGUGAUAAAACAAACAUCUCA